GGGGAGCUUCGGCGCCCUAUACCCGCGGGUGGCAACACCCGUGCAAGCAAACGGAAGACAGAGA
rnacentral:ncRNA from 1 species